CUUUUCUUUAGUGAUUUGUACUGUGUAGGCUGCAAAGGACAGUGCGUUUGUUUCUGGUUCUUUUCAUGCACAUUGUUUUUUGUUUCCUGUGAGACCUUUGUAUCCACAGUGCUAUUUUCCACAAUGCAUAUGUACAAAAAAAAAGGAAAAGAAAGAAAGGACACAAAGCGCCUCGGAGAGGUGAAGACUGACGGACGGUGCGGUCCGAUGCUUCCCAGGUCUGGACCUGGCUUUCACACGGCAGUUUGAUGGUGACAGCGCCAUCCGCUGAGGAUCGGGAAACAAUGGGGACGGCCCCACUGCGCAUAUGAGCGGAAAUAUCAGCCGGAAAGCCCAUUGAAUUAAUUAUUCCUUCCUCUACGUUCUGAAAUCCCUGUCACUUUAAUGGGAAUGGAUGUGUUGGAUCAUGGAUGCUGCGUGAUUAAUCCAAAUGAGAUGUACUGGGGGGGAGGGAGAU